rnacentral:misc_RNA from 1 species
ACCGCGCCCCGACUUGAGUGGAAAUCCCCGCCGUGGCGGGAUUGGGAACGGAAGGCGGAAAAGGCG